rnacentral:tRNA from 1 species
GGAGGACAGGCUGAUGUUGGUUGGCAGCACCUGUUUGCUAAACCGGACCGUGUCACAGCGGCGAAGGUUCGAUUCCUUUGUCCUCCG